GUUGAGUAUCCACUUGAGUCAUUUUCAGUGACGGAGAGAUAAGAGAGUGGUAAUAGGGCACAUAAAUGGUAAUAGGGUACAAUUCAGAGAUGUUGACCCCUGUCACAGGAGGUGAAGGGAUUAAAAAUUUCAGGAUUUUGGAAAUUCUAUAUGUUGAAGCUGCAAAAAUUUGUUACUUAUUAUCUUCAAUAAUUUUUUUUUUGCUGGGAAAGAGUCACUCUGAGCUAACAUCUGUUGCCAAUCCUCCUCUCUUUUUUCUCCCCAAAGUCCCAGGACAUAGUUGUAUAUUUUAGUUGAAGUUCUUCCAUGUGAGCCACUGCCACAGCAUGGCCACUGACCACAAGACGUGUGGUUCUGCGCCCAGGAACUGAAGCUGGACUGCCAAAGCAGAGUGCAUUGAACUUUAACCAUUAGGCCAUCAGCACUGACUCAACAUAUUUUUAAAUAUAACUGACAAAAGCACUUGCAAGCCAUGCUCACAUAGGAAGGACAGGACUCACUUGUUCAAUAAGAACUUCUUCUAAGAGGACAUUUUUGUGUUAUACCUGG
rnacentral:lncRNA from 1 species